rnacentral:lncRNA from 1 species
UCCAACUCAUGUACUUUCUCCUUAGUCAAAAAACCCCAUCUAAUCCGCGGUUGUCCCCGAGCACCCCUCCUCUUACUCUUCACCCAGAGAACGACAUCCAUCACUAGGAGUCUAUGAAGAGUCAAAAGGGACUCUCCUGGAAUAACCUUGCAGUCCUUGCACGUACCCGAUCGCCCCUUCUGAGGAGGAGGUAAUCAAUCUGAGUCCUCGCCGCCGAACUCUUGAAGGUGACCAAAUGCUCCUCCCUCUUC